rnacentral:rRNA from 1 species
UUGGGGGACACACCCGUUCCCAUCCCGAACACGAUGGUUAAGACCCAAGCGGCCGAUGGUACUAUGUUGGAGACGAUAUGGGAGAGCAGGUGGCUGCCA